rnacentral:rRNA from 1 species
AGUGAACGCUGGCAGUAGGCCUAACACAUGCAAGUCGAACGGCAGCACAGGAGAGCUUGCUCUCUGGGUGGCGAGUGGCGGACGGGUGAGGAAUACAUCGGAAUCUACCUUUUCGUGGGGGAUAACGUAGGGAAACUUACGCUAAUACCGCAUACGACCUACGGGUGAAAGUGGGGGACCGCAAGGCCUCACGCGAUUAGAUGAGCCGAGGUCCGAUUAGCUAGUUGGCGGGGUAAUGGCCCACCAAGGCGCCGAUCGGUAUCUGGUCUGAGAGGAUGAUCAGCCACACUGGAACUGAGACACGGUCCAGACUCCUACGGGAGGCAGCAGUGGGGAAUAUUGGACAAUGGGCGCAAGCCUGAUCCAGCCAUACCGCGUGGGUGAAGAAGGCCUUCGGGUUGUAAAGCCCUUUUGUUGGGAAAGAAAUCCUGUCGAUUAAUACUCGGUGGGGAUGACGGUACCCAAAGAAUAAGCACCGGCUAACUUCGUGCCAGCCGCCGCCGUAAAAC